GCUUGUCUCAAAGAUUAAGCCAUGCACGUCUAAGUAUAAGCAUUAUACAGCGAAACAGCGAAUGGCUCAUUACAUUAGUUUUAACAUACACGAUGAUCGAUUCUACUUGGAUAACCGUAGUAAUUCUAGAGCUAAUACAUGCAUCAUCCCCCAUCUCGGGGUGUAUUUAUUAGAUGGAAACCAAUGCGGGGCAACCCGGAAUAUGGUGAAUCAUAAUAACUGUCGUAUCGAGCAAUCGAAGCGCCAUACAAGUUUCUGCCCUAUCAGCUUUGGAUGGUAGGGUAUUGGCCUACCAUGGCUUUAACGGGUAACGGAGAAUUAGGGUUCGAUUCCGGAGAGGGAGCCUGAGAAACGGCUACCACAUCCAAGGAAGGCAGCAGG
rnacentral:rRNA from 1 species